GUGUGGUGGUGCAGUGGGCAGCACUGCUGCCUCACAGUACAAAGGUUCUGUGUUCAAAUCCCAGCUACAGCC
rnacentral:tRNA from 1 species